rnacentral:tRNA from 1 species
GCCCUCGUAGCUCAACGGAUAGAGCUGCUCACUCCUAACGAGCGGAUAGGGGUUCAAUUCCUCUCGGGGGCA